rnacentral:sRNA from 1 species
GCUGGGCGCAGUGAUGCAUGCCUGUAAUCCCAGUGGCUGGGGAGGUUGAGACAGGAGAAUGGCAAGUUCAAAGCCACCCUCAGCAAUAGUGAGGUGCUAAGUAACUCAGUGAGACCCUGUCUCUA